CAGUCGCCGCGGGAAUACGAAGGGUGCAAGCGUUAAUCGGAAUUACUGGGCGUAAAGCGUGCGUAGGCGGUGAGUUAAGUCUGCUGUGAAAUCCCCGGGCUCAACCUGGGAAUGGCAGUGGAUACUGGCUCGCUAGAGUGUGUCAGAGGAUGGUGGAAUUCCCGGUGUAGCGGUGAAAUGCGUAGAGAUCGGGAGGAACAUCAGUGGCGAAGGCGGCCAUCUGGGACAACACUGACGCUGAGGCACGAAAGCGUGGGGAGCAAACAGGAUUAGAUACCCCAGUAGUCCCUGUCUCUUAUAA
rnacentral:rRNA from 1 species